rnacentral:misc_RNA from 1 species
UAUUGAUCAGAACAGGGCUUUGGUGGAUGGACCUUGCACUCAAGUAAGGAGACAAGCUAUGCCUUUCAAAUGCAUGCAGCUCACUGACUUCAUCCUCAAGUUCCCACACAGUGCCCGCCAGAAGUAUGUCCGGAAAGCCUGGGAGAAGGCAGAUAUCAAUGCAAAGUGGGCAGCCACAAGGUGGGCCAAGAAGAUUGAAGCCAGA